rnacentral:rRNA from 1 species
AGUCGAGGGGUAGAGGAAGCUUGCUUCCUUGAGACCGGCGCACGGGUGCGUAACGCGUAUGCAAUCUACCUUGUACAGGGGGAUAGCCCAGAGAAAUUUGGAUUAAUACCCCAUAGUAUUAUUGAAUGGCAUCAUUUAAUUAUUAAAGUUCCAACGGUACAAGAUGAGCAUGCGUCCUAUUAGCUAGUUGGUGUGGUAACGGCACACCAAGGCUACGAUAGGUAGGGGUCCUGAGAGGGAGAUCCCCCACACUGGUACUGAGACACGGACCAGACUCCUACGGGAGGCAGCAGUGAGGAAUAUUGGACAAUGGGCGCAAGCCUGAUCCAGCCAUGCCGCGUGCAGGAAGAAGCAUCUAUGGUGUGUAAACUGCAUUUGUACGGGAAGAAACACUGCUACGUGUAACAUCUUGACGGUACCGUAAGAAUAAGGAUCGGCUAACUCCGUGCCAGCAGCCGCGGUAAUACAGAGGAUCCAAGCGUUAUCCGGAAUCAUUGGGUUUAAAGGGUCCGUACGCGGUCUAAUAAGUCAGUGGUG